CAAAACGUAAAGAGAUACAUUCUUCAGAUAGGUUAUAAUUUACAUUGCUACCUCUUCUCAUGUCAUUUGCAUUUGCAUGGUUCUUCUUUCUUUCUUUUUCUUCUAAAACU
rnacentral:ribozyme from 14 species